UACGUAGGGGGCAAGCGUUAUCCGGAUUCACUGGGUUUAAAGGGUGCGUAGGUGGGCAGGUAAGUCAGUGGUGAAAUCUCCGGGCUUAACCCGGAAACUGCCAUUGAUACUAUCUGUCUUGAAUACCGUGGAGGUGAGCGGAAUAUGUCAUGUAGCGGUGAAAUGCUUAGAUAUGACAUAGAACACCAAUUGCGAAGGCAGCUCACUACACGAAUAUUGACACUGAGGCACGAAAGCGUGGGGAUCAAACAGG
rnacentral:rRNA from 1 species